GAUACCCUAUUAUAUUUAAAUAAUUUUAGGUAGUACUGAUUUUUCAAGAAAACCUAUGCAGUUUGGCGGCAUUUAAUCACCUUAGAGGAACCUGUCUUUUAAUCGAUACCCCCCGCUAUUUCUUACUUUUAUAAACAUCUUAUAUACCUCCAUCUUAAGGGCUAAUAUUUACAUCUUCCCCCAAAUAGAAAUCUAAUAAGUUAGGUAAAGGUGUAGACUAUAUAAAAGCUAAGAUGGGUUACUAUGAACCUCAUUUAAGGACUUAAACCAAAAGUUUUAAUAAAAAAGGAUUUAUUAGUAAUUUAAAAAUAAUAAUCUUCCAUGAAAUUGAUAAAUAAUGUGCACACAUC
rnacentral:rRNA from 1 species